GACGAACGCUGGCGGCGUGCUUAACACGUGCAAGUCGAACGGAAAGGCCCUGCUUUUGUGGGGUGCUCGAGUGGCGAACGGGUGAGUAACACGUGAGUAACCUGCCCUUGACUUUGGGAUAACUUCAGGAAACUGUGGCUAAUACCGGAUAGGAUCUCCUGCUGCAUGGUGGGGGUUGGAAAGUUUCGUCGGUUGGGGAUGGACUCGCGGCUUAUCAGCUUGUUGGUGGGGUAGUUGCUUACCAAGGCUUUGACGGGUAGCCGGCCUGAGAGGGUGACCGGCAACAUUGGGACUGAGAUACGGCACAGAAUCCUACGGGAGGAAGAAGUGGGGAAUAUUGCACAAUGGGCGGAAGCCUGAUGCAGCAACGCCGCGUGCGGGAUGACGGCCUUCGGGUUGUAAAACGCUUUCGCCUGUGACGAAGCGUGAGUGACGGUAAUGGGUAAAGAAGCACCGGCUAACUACGUG
rnacentral:rRNA from 1 species